rnacentral:rRNA from 1 species
UCCGAAGGUGAACCUGCGGAGGGAUCAUUACCGAGUUUACAACUCCCAAACCCAUGUGAACAUACCUAUUGUUGCUUCGGCGGGAUUGCCCCGGGCGCCUCGCGUGCCCCGGAUCAGGCGCCCGCCUGGGAAACUUAACUCUUGUUUUAUUUUGGAAUCUUCUGAGUAGUUUUUACAAAUAAAUAAAAACUUUCAACAACGGAUCUCUUGGUUCUGGCAUCGAUGAAGAACGCAGCGAAAUGCGAUAAGUAAUGUGAAUUGCAGAAUUCAGUGAAUCAUCGAAUCUUUGAACGCACAUUGCGCCCGCCAGUAUUCUGGCGGGCAUGCCUGUCUGAGCGUCAUUUCAACCCUCAUGCCCCUAGGGCGUGGUGUUGGGGAUCGGCCAAAGCCCGCGAGGGACGGCCGGCCCCUAAAUCUAGUGGCGGACCCGUCGUGGCCUCCUCUGCGAAGUAGUGAUAUUCCGCAUCGGAGAGCGACGAGCCCCUGCCGUUAAACCCCCAACUUUCCAAGGUUGACCUCAGAUCAGGUAGGAAUACCCGCUGAACUUAAGCAUAUCAAUAAGCGGAGGA